CUCUUUCAGAACAACUGCUUGAGAAACAUGUACACGAUAUUGAUUUCAGUUUUCUUAAUUCUUAUGGGCUGAUAUACAUGCUUAAAAUUUAUAUCUCCAUUUUCAAUAACUGGGUUAUAUUUUGCACUGAGAUAUACUUAUACUUUGAUAUAUAUUUUAUGUUUUUCAUAUAGGAGUCAGGGUUUCGGCCAAGUAACUUAAAGAACAUGAUUGAACAGAUUGUUGCCGAGGACUUUCUAAUAGAUUCUCUUGAAUACCCCUUUCUAUAUGCUCGUAUCUUUACUACAGUUGCCAAAUUCUCCUCUGUGGCAUCAUAUGGUUUCCUUGCAUACGAUACUUGAAACGUUGCAAGAAGCAGUAAAGGCAGGUUAGGAAUAUCUUUCUAUGGAAAUUACUAAUUUACUCUUCUAUCCCCACACAAUUGACUUUAUUUUUUUUUCUUUUUUGUGAUACAAAUCACUGUUUGGUUCAAAUGCUCACUGAGAAAUUUCGCCUUUUCAUUCAAUAACCAAGAGGCUGUUUUUUCUCAAACUAAACCUAUUGCUACAUCAGUAAAGGAUGGUUUUAAUGUCUGUAUAUUUGCUUAUGGGCAAACUGGAACUAGUAAAACAUUUACAAUGGAGGGAACACCAGAAGAGAGGGGAGUUAAUUACCGAACACUUGAAGAAUUGUUUAGGAUAUCCGAAGAGAGAAAGGGUGUAAUGAAGUAUGACUUACAUGUUAGUAUGUUGGAGGUUUACAAUGAGAAGAUAAGAGAUCUUCUAGUGGAAAACUCUACCCAGCCUACUAAGAAGUUGGAUAAUGAGUCUGUAAGAAAUGUGCACUAUUUUAGUCUCCAGGCUUAUGUAAAAUCUGACUACAGUCCGAGCAUUCUUCACUUCGAUUAAUGGAGCAUGAGAAUUCUAAGAUUUUGAAUGCAAAAGGCGAGCUUAGCGAUGAAAAGCUCUCUUCAUAUGAAAAAUGUAACACCCAAACCCAUUAAUUAAAUAUUUCUACCUUUAGU